rnacentral:rRNA from 1 species
CCUACGGGGGGCUGCAGUAAGGAAUAUUGGGCAAUGGACGCAAGUCUGACCCAGCCAUGCCGCGUGAAGGAUGAAUGUCCUAUGGAUUGUAAACUUCUUUUAUGCAGGAAAAAUAUCCCGGUCGAGAAUCGGGACUGAUGGUACUGUAUGAAUAAGCAUCGGCUAACUCCGUGCCAGCAGCCGCGGUAAUACGGAGGAUGCAAGCGUUAUCCGGAUUCAUUGGGUUUAAAGGGUGCGCAGGCGGAAUGAUAAGUCAGUGGUGAAAUCUCCCGGCUCAACCGGGAAACUGCCAUUGAUACUGUCGUUCUUGAGUACAGUUGAAGUGGGCGGAAUGUGUCAUGUAGCGGUGAAAUGCUUAGAUAUGACACAGAACACCGAUAGCGAAGGCAGCUCACUAAGCUGUAACUGACGCUCAUGCACGAAAGCGUGGGGAUCAAACAGGAUUAGAUACCCCGGUAGUC